rnacentral:rRNA from 1 species
AUUGAACGCUGGCGGAAUGCUUUACACAUGCAAGUCGAACGGCAGCACGGGGCAACCUGGUGGCGAGUGGCGAACGGGUGAGUAAUACAUCGGAACGUGCCCAAUCGUGGGGGAUAACGUAGCGAAAGUUACGCUAAUACCGCAUACGAUCUACGGAUGAAAGCGGGGGAUCGCAAGACCUCGCGCGAGUGGAGCGGCUGAUGUCAGAUUAGGUAGUUGGUGGGGUAAAGGGCUCACCAAGCCAACGAUCUGUAGCUGGUCUGAGAGGACGACCAGCCACACUGGAACUGAGACACGGUCCAGACUCCUACGGGAGGCAGCAGUGGGGAAUUUUGGACAAUGGGCGCAAGCCUGAUCCAGCCAUUCCGCGUGCAGGAUGAAGGCCU